rnacentral:rRNA from 1 species
AUUGAACGCUGGCGGCAUGCUUUACACAUGCAAGUCGAACGGUAACAGGCCGCAAGGUGCUGACGAGUGGCGAACGGGUGAGUAAUGCAUCGGAACGUGCCCAGUCGUGGGGGAUACUACUCGAAAGAGUAGCUAAUACCGCAUACGAUCUAUGGAUGAAAGCGGGGGACCGUAAGGCCUCGCGCGAUUGGAGCGGCCGAUGUCAGAUUAGGUAGUUGGUGGGGUAAAGGCUCACCAAGCCAACGAUCUGUAGCUGGUCUGAGAGGACGACCAGCCACACUGGGACUGAGACACGGCCCAGACUCCUACGGGAGGCAGCAGUGGGGAAUUUUGGACAAUGGGCGCAAGCCUGAUCCAGCAAUGCCGCGUGCAGGAAGAAGGCCUUCGGGUUGUAAACUGCUUUUGUACGGAACGAAACGGCUCUGGUUAAUACCCGGGGCUAAUGACGGUACCGUAAGAAUAAGCACCGGCUAACUACGUG